rnacentral:pre_miRNA from 1 species
GAUGGAUCAAAUCCAAUCCAUUAACAAAUAUUUUUGUUUGAUGGAUGGAUUGGAUGGAUUUUAUAGUG